rnacentral:rRNA from 1 species
AAACCAUUUCUCCCCCCUAGUAUAGGCGAUAGAAAAGGAACCACGGCGCAAUAGAAAAAGUACCGCAAGGGAAAGCUGAAAGAGAGAUGAAACAGCCCAGUAAAGUCUAAAAAAGCAGAGAUUACCUCUUGUACCUUUUGCAUCAUGAUUUAGCCAGAAACCCCAAGCAAAGAGCACUUUAGUUUGACUCCCCGAAACUAGCGUGAGCUACUCCAAGACAGCCUAUCUAUAGGGCAAACCCGUCUCUGUGGCAAAAGAGUGGGAAGAGCUUUGAGUAGAGGUGACAGACCUACCGAACCUAGCAAUAGCUGGUUGCCUGAAAACUGGAUAUAAGUUCAGCCUCCCGGCUUCUCCAUUCACCCCACCCCCAACAGAUAACUAAAGAACACCGCGAGAGUUAGUCAAAGGGGGUACAGCCCCUUUGAACCAAGACACAACUUUACCAGGUGGGUAAAGAUCAAAAUAUACCAAGGAAAUAUGUUCUGGUGGGCCUAAGAGCAGCCAUCCAAAUAGAAAGCGUUCAAGCUCAGACAUCCUCUUCCCCAAAAAUCCCGAUAACCCAAUCUUAUCCCCCUAAACUUAUCAGGCCGCCCCAUGCAACCAUGGGGGUGUCCAUGCUAAUAUGAGUAAUAAGAGAGUCACACCCUCUCUCCCCGCAUAAGUGUAAAUCGAAACGGACCCCCCAUCGAUAUUUAAACGGCCCCACACCAAGAGGGCAUUAGGAGGCAAACCAAGUGAACAAGAAAAUCGCCUAAUAAUAUAACCGUUAACCCCACACUGGUAUGCACCUCGGGAAAGACAAAAGGAAAAAGAAGGAACUCGGCAAAUACACAACAAGCCUCGCCUGUUUACCAAAAACAUCGCCUCUUGCUAACCAAAAAUAAGAGGUCCAACCUGCCCAGUGACCAUGUGUUUAACGGCCGCAGUAUUUUGACUGUGCGAAGGUAGCGUAAUCACUUGUCUUUUAAAUGGAGACCUGUAUGAACGGUAAAACGAGGGCUUAACUGUCUCCUUUUUCUAGUCAAUGAAAUUGAUCCCCCCGUGCAGAAGCGGGGAUACAAACAUAAGACGAGAAGACCCUGUGGAGCUUUAGACGCCAGAGCAGACCAUGUUAAACACCCCAAACUAAAGGAAUAAACUGAUUGGAUGCUGCUCCCAUGUCUUCGGUUGGGGCGACCGUGAGGAAAUUAAAAAACCCUCCACGUGGAAUGGGAGCAACAAUCCCUCGAAGAUCUUUCUCUUCUUUGUCUCCCACAACUAAGAGCCACAGUUCUAAGCAACAGAAUAUCUGACCAAUAGAGAUCCGGCAAAGCCGAUUAACGAACCAAGUUACCCCAGGGAUAACAGCGCAAU